AUGAAGUCUUUUAAUGAUUCAUUUUGUUUGAUUGACUUAGAGACAAUUUUGUGAAGUCUUUUAAUGAUUCAGCUCAUCUGAUUGACCACAAUCCAAUUUAAAUAGCAUAUGAAAUAAUUUAUUUGAUACGAAGAAUGUUGUUGGAAUGGAAUGUCAAUGCAUUGAUAUAUAGUGUUAAUACAAACUUAGCAAGGUAGAUCGGUCGAUCGGGUUGAAGAGAGGUCUACCAUGUGAGAGGAGGUCGGAUGACUGUGUUGAUGAAGGUUGGAGGACCAAGUGAAAGGUGGUCAAAUGUCCAACUAAAUAAGGUAGGGAAAACAAGUCGACUCGUCAAAACAGAAAACAAACGUGAUCUGGGAUGACAUUAUAUUACUUACGAUAAUAAGUUUUGUAAUAAUAGGAAUUUACCAGUAAUUUAUUCUUAUCAUUUUUAGGAUUAUAG
rnacentral:misc_RNA from 1 species